rnacentral:rRNA from 1 species
AGUGAGCGCUGGCGGCGUGCUUAACACAUGCAAGUCGAACGAGAACGGAUUAUAGCUUGCUAUAAUUGUCAGCUAAGUGGCGCACGGGUGAGUAAUGUAUAGGUAAUAUGCCUCUUACUAAGGGAUAACAAUUGGAAACGUUUGCUAAUACCUUAUACUCCUUAUUAACAUAAGUUAAUAAGGGAAAGAUUUAUUGGUAAGAGAUUAGCCUGUAUUGUAUCAGUUAGUUGGUGGGGUAAUGGCUUACCAAGACUAUGACACAUAACUGGUUUGAGAGGAUGAUCAGUCACACUGGAACUGAGACACGGUCCAGACUCCUACGGGAGGCAGCAGUGGGGAAUAUUGCACAAUGGACGAAAGUCUGAUGCAGCAACGCCGCGUGGAGGAUGACACAUUUCGGUGCGUAAACUCCUUUUAUAUGAGAAGAUAAUGACGGUAUUAUAUGAAUAAGCACCGGCUAACUCCGUGCCAGCCGCCGCCGUAA